rnacentral:rRNA from 1 species
AUGGUAGGUAGCAAUACUUAUUGAUGGCGACCGGCGCACGGGUGAGUAACGCGUAUGCAACUUACCUAUCAGAGGGGGAUAGCCCGGCGAAAGUCGGAUUAAUACUCCAUAAAACAGGGGUCCCGCAUGGGACUAUUUGUUAAAGAUUCAUCGCUGAUAGAUAGGCAUGCGUUCCAUUAGGCAGUUGGCGGGGUAACGGCCCACCAAACCGACGAUGGAUAGGGGUUCUGAGAGGAAGGUCCCCCACAUUGGUACUGAGACACGGACCAAACUCCUACGGGAGGCAGCAGUGAGGAAUAUUGGUCAAUGGCCGAGAGGCUGAACCAGCCAAGUCGCGUGAAGGAUGAAGGAUCUAUGGUUUGUAAACUUCUUUUAUAGGGGAAUAAAGUGUGGGACGUGUCCCAUUUUGUAUGUACCCUAUGAAUAAGCAUCGGCUAACUCCGUGCCAGCAGCCGCGGUAAUACGGAGGAUGCGAGCGUUAUCCGGAUUUAUUGGGUUUAAAGGGUGCGUAGGUGGUAAUUUAAGUCAGCGGUGAAAGUUUGUGGCUCAACCAUAAAAUUGCCGUUGAAACUGGGUUACUU